rnacentral:miRNA from 3 species
UUAUUGCUUGAGAAUACGCGUA